AAGGCUUUAGCUUAAUUAAAGUGUCUGUUUUGCAUGCAGAAGAUGUGAGAUAAUGGUUUGCAAGUCUUA
rnacentral:tRNA from 1 species